rnacentral:rRNA from 1 species
GAUGAACGCUGGCGGCGUGCCUAAUACAUGCAAGUCGAGCGAACAGACGAGGAGCUUGCUCCUCUGACGUAAGCGGCGGACGGGUGAGUAACACGUGGAUAACCUACCUAUAAGACUGGGAUAAAUUCGGGAAACCGGAGCUAAUACCGGAUAAUAUAUUGAACCGCAUGGUUCAAUAGUGAAAGACGGUUUUGCUGUCACUUAUAGAUGGAUCCGCGCCGCAUUAGCUAGUUGGUAGGGUAACGGCUUACCAAGGCAACGAUGCGUAGCCGACCUGAGAGGGUGAUCGGCCACACUGGAACUGAGACACGGUCCAGACUCCUACGGGAGGCAGCAGUAGGGAAUCUUCCGCAAUGGGCGAAAGCCUGACGGAGCAACGCCGCGUGAGUGAUGAAGGUCUUCGGAUCGUAAAACUCUGUUAUUAGGGAAGAACAAAUGUGUAAGUAACUAUGCACGUCUUGACGGUACCUAAUCAGAAAGCCACGGCUAACUACGUG